rnacentral:rRNA from 1 species
AUUGAACGCUGGCGGCAGGCCUAACACAUGCAAGUCGAGCGGAUGAGUGGAGCUUGCUCCAUGAUUCAGCGGCGGACGGGUGAGUAAUGCCUAGGAAUCUGCCUGGUAGUGGGGGACAACGUUUCGAAAGGAACGCUAAUACCGCAUACGUCCUACGGGAGAAAGUGGGGGAUCUUCGGACCUCACGCUAUCAGAUGAGCCUAGGUCGGAUUAGCUAGUUGGUGAGGUAAAGGCUCACCAAGGCGACGAUCCGUAACUGGUCUGAGAGGAUGAUCAGUCACACUGGAACUGAGACACGGUCCAGACUCCUACGGGAGGCAGCAGUGGGGAAUAUUGGACAAUGGGCGAAAGCCUGAUCCAGCCAUGCCGCGUGUGUGAAGAAGGUCUUCGGAUUGUAAAGCACUUUAAGUUGGGAGGAAGGGCAGUAAGUUAAUACCUUGCUGUUUUGACGUUACCAACAGAAUAAGCACCGGCUAACUUCGUA